rnacentral:rRNA from 1 species
UGAGGAAUAUUGCGCAAUGGAGGCAACUCUGACGCAGCCAUGCCGCGUGGAGGAAGACGGCCCUCUGGGUUGUAAACUCCUUUUAUCGGGGAAGAAACCCCAGGACGUGUCCUGGGUUGACGGUACCAGAGGAAUAAGCACCGGCUAACUUCGUG